UUUUGGCCCCAUGAAUUUAUUAGUCGAGGCAAAAAGCAGACUGGAAUUCCAGUCCAGUUUUGAGAUUUCUCAAAUUUUCACCUCCCAAAAUACAUGGGUUGGAGAAGCUUUUUGGAGGCUAAACUCAAAAUUUGAGUUUCCACCCCUUGGGUUGGAGAUGGUGUAAGGAAUUGGAUAAAAAAUAUAGAUUCGACAACUCCGAGAAUCUCCGAAUGAUAAAUUUGGUAUUUCAGCUAGCUGGACAUGAGAUUGUGCAGGAUUCAAGGCGAAGUUUGAGGAAGCGGGUUUCAACCAAACUACUAGGCUUUUGUUGUUGAUUUGUGUAAUUAACUCUUGUAAGUAGUCAAUGGUUUGAUAAAGAUCUUAGUGUGUAAUUAAC